UUGGGCCUUGCUCAAUACAUUGGGACCUUGAUGCCACUCAGAAUGCUUCCGUGUGUUGUUCUUGCACUUGGUCCUCGUCUCUCUCUAACCCCCCCCCCCCCAUUUGGUUCUUAGGAGAAGGUCCCCUCGAGACCCUCGAAUAACUGGUCCUGCUGGAUGGGUCAAGUGGCGCCCAACGUAGGGCACAAGGUACUACCACCCUCCGGACAACGGAUUCGAGAGGUACUGCGCAGACAGUGAGACAGUUCCCUGCCACUUCGUUCGAGUGUCGCAGACGUUGAGACCAACAUGUUGGAACAAUAAAUUCCUCUUGCUUUUUGCAUCGAUUCCUGAAUCUGUGUCAUUCACUCAGGGAGUCCCAGAGGACGGAAUUGGAGAUCACUCAGAGAGAUUAGGUUGUUCGUAGUCACAAGGCUGGUGA
rnacentral:lncRNA from 1 species